AGCAGCCGCGGUAAUUCCAGCUCCAAUAGCGUAUAUUAAAGUUGUUGCAGUUAAAAAGCUCGUAGUUGAAUUUCGGAAUCUGUCCGUCGGUCGGGCUUCACUGUCCGUACUGGUGUGAUGGGUUUCUACCUUCUGAAUAACCGGCAUGUCAUUAAUUUGGUGCGCCGGGGAAGCAGAACUAUUACCUUGAAAAAAUUAGAGUGCUUAAAGCAGGCUAUCGCCUGAAUAGAUUAGCAUGGAAUAAUAAAAUAGGACGGCAUGGUUCUAUUUUGUUGGUUUCUAGGAUCACCGUAAUGAUUAAUAGGGAUAGUUGGGGGCAUUAGUAUUCAAUUGUCAGAGGUGAAAUUCUUGGAUUUAUUGAAGACUAACUUCUGCGAAAGCAUUUUGCCAAGGAUGUUUUCAUUAAUCAAGAACGAAAGUUAGGGGAUCGAAGACGAUCAGAUACCGUCGUAGUCUUAACCAUAAACUAUGCCGACUAGGGAUCGGACGAUGUUAAUUUUUUAAUGACUCG
rnacentral:rRNA from 1 species